rnacentral:rRNA from 1 species
AACGCACCUUGCGCUCCUUGGUAUUCCGAGGAGCAUGCCUGUUUGAGUGUCAUGGAAUCAUCAACUCUCAUCUGUUAUGGAUGAGGGCUUGGACUUGGGGGUUUUGCUGGUGUCUGCCAGCUCCUCUUGAAUGCAUUAGCUUGAACCUCUGCUGUAUCGGCGUAAUUGCCGGCUCAGUUGAAAUACACGAGCAACCCAUUUGAAAUAAACGGCUUGACUCGGCGUAAUAAUUAUUUCGCUGAGGACGUUUUCUUCAAAAGUUAGAGGUGCUUCUAAUGCGCUAUUACAGCACUUUAAAUUUUAGACCUCAAAUCAGUCAGGACUACCCGCUGAACUUAA